rnacentral:rRNA from 1 species
GACGGUACCUGCAGAAAAAGCACCGGCUAACUACGUGCCAGCAGCCGCGGUAAUACGUAGGGUGCAAGCGUUGUCCGGAAUUAUUGGGCGUAAAGAGCUCGUAGGCGGUUUGUCGCGUCUGCUGUGAAAAUCCAAGGCUCAACCUUGGACCUGCAGUGGGUACGGGCAGACUAGAGUGCGGUAGGGGAGAUGGGAAUUCCUGGUGUAGCGGUGGAAUGCGCAGAUAUCAGGAGGAACACCAAUGGCGAAGGCACAUCUCUGGGCCGUAACUGACGCUGAGGAGCGAAAGCGUGGGGAGCGAACAGGAUUAGAUACCCUGGUAGUCCACGCCGUAAACGGUGGGUGCUAGUUGUGGGCCACAUUCCACGUGGUCCGUGACGAAGUUAACACAUUAAGCACCCCGCCUGGGGAGUACGGUCGCAAGACUAAAACUC